GGGGGGGAAGAAGAGAAAGUAUUUCUUGUUAUUUACUGUUAUUUCUGAGCAAUUUAAAGAGCAAAUAAGAAAAUAAAAGACCACCUCUCAAUCCCUGGUGACAGACUGCCAGGUUUUGGAAAGAUUGGACACUUUGUUAGCACUCUAAAUGGACAAUGUAUCUUUUUGCCUUUUAACUUUACAAAAUUGAAACAUUGGGACAGUUUUACAACUUUGGGAAAAGUUGCCUUUUUGGCUGUUUGAGAGUCUUUAUUUUUGAUACUUUAUUACUUGUGUCCCCCUGGAGGCCAAAAGGGAAAAAGUCUCUAUGGACUGAGGAAUAUUCCACCUAACAGCAGCCUGGGAAAGUACAAUAACAAAAUAAUUUUGACUGUGAGAGUGACCUUGACUUUUAGAUAAAGUGCCAUGGAAGGAAGAGAUCUGAGGUCUGGGAAAGCCAGGCAGCAGAGCAACAUUGCACAACAGCAACAGCGUAGGCAAUCCAUCGCUGGACCACAAGGGGAGGAAGAAGGAUUGGCCAGUUUAUUUAAAAUUGUGAAUGAAGGUUUUGAAAAAUUGGGUCAACAAAAUGCCGAGGCUCUAGAAGCCAUUAGACAAAACUCUGCAAGUAUUGACAAGUUGACCCGACAGACUAAUGAAAAUACAGAUGUGAUUAAAAAACUACUGGAACAAUCUGCUGAAACCCAAAAAACAGCUUUGGAAGCCAGAGAAAAGGCGGUAGCUGCUGAAGAAAAACUACCACCUUUAAUUAAACAAGUUCAAGAGCACCACAUAAGAUUGGGAACGCACCAGGAAUUGUUAUCUCUUCUUGAGUUAAAGGAGAAACAGACCAACUUAAGGAUCAGAGCAGUACCUGAGAUUGAAAAAGAGAGCCUGGCAGACUUUUUGACGCAAGAAUUUGCCAAUUUUUGGCAAUUGAAGGAUAAGGAAGAUUUCAAGAUAACGUCUGCUUUUAGGCUCGGAAGAAGAGCAAGGAAAAAUAGAGUGAGAGACUGCCUGAUUACCCUGCGAUCAAAAGAGGAACGAGAUAAAAUUUUGAGCCUACAUUAUCAAAAUACACUGACAAUACAAGAUUCAAGGAUAGAAAUAUUUAAAGACAUUCCAAAGCUUCUUUUGGAGCUUAGGUCUAACUAUCGAGACCUGGUGACGUUGCUGAGAGGAAACAGAAUUUUUUUCAGGUGGGAAUUCCCUCAAGGCCUCUCUUGCAGUUUUAGCGGCAAACAAAUUAAAAUUAAAGCGGUGGAGGCGAAACAGAUCUUUUUGAGAGAUUCCCAAGAGGACCUGCAAAAGGAUUGGAGCCAGAAGCCCCUUUAACAGGAUUGGAUCUUACAUUACCACCGUUGGGAGAGGAUAAGACAGAGAAGCCGAAACCACCAACAGAGGAAGAAGAGUUAUUGGGAGCAGUUGGAGGGAAAUAAAGAAAUCAUCAUGGCUCUGCAACUUUUAACUUGGAAUGUUUGUGGUCUGAAUUCUCCGGAAAAAAGAAGGAAAGUAUUCCAUAUACUUAAAAAAGAACAAUUGGACUUAAUUUGUUUACAGGAAACCCAUGUGACGAGGCUCCAUAGGAAAAUAUUGAUUAAUAAGAGACUGGGCCAAGAAUUUAUCUCAUCAGACAAAGUUAAAAACGAGGAGUGGUAAUUUACGCAAAGGAGAGCCUCUCACCAAAAUUUGUCUUUAAGGAUGAACAAGGAAGAUUUAUAGCAAUUGAAAUUCAAGUACAAGGAGAAAAAUUUUUGAUAGUAGGUGUAUAUGCACCAAAUGAGGGGAAAUCUAUAUUCUACAAAAAGUUGCAUGAGACCUUGAUGGACUAUAUGGACUAUAAUACUGUUUUCAUGGGAGAUAUGAAUGGGGUGGUUUCCACAAAUAUGGACAAGUCACAAAGAGAGGUAGUUACUAAAGAUGGUAGACUACCGAAAACAUUUUUUGAACUAACUGACAAUAUGGACUUGAUUGACAUUUGGAGAACUAAGAAUCCCCUUGAUAGAGAAGGAACCUUUUUUUCUGAAGCCCAGAAGACAUGGACAAGAAUUGACCAAAUCUGGACUACUAGAGGACUGGCACCUAAGGUUAAGAAGGUAGAGAUCUGCCCAAAAACAUGCUCCGACCAUAACGCCGUGAGAAUGGAGAUGAAGUUAACACCUAUUGGUUCCUUCCGAUGGAGGAUGAAUGACACCUUGUUUAGAGAUCAAGAGGUGAUUAAGAAGGCCCAAAAGACAUUGAGGGACUAUUUUGAGAUAAAUUUGAAUACAACUGUAGAAAAAGAGUAAUCUGGGAUGCAAGCAAAGCUGUUAUGAGGGGUUUCCUGAUUCAACAGAAUUCAAUUAAGAAGAAGGCCCAAAACGUAAAGAAAGAAAAAAAAUUUUGGAAAAAAUAAAGGAGGGCGAGAAGAAAUUGAGAGUGAAGCCCAAUUCACAAGAGAUUCUGAGGGAAAUAAAAUUGUACCAAGUGCAAUAUAUGAAAUUGAUAAAUCAAGAAGUGGAAUGGAAAAUUAAGCAAAUGAGACAAAAGACUUUUGAAUCGGCAAAUAAAUGUGGGAAACUGCUGGCCUGGCAGUUGAAGAAGCGACAAAAACUUAAUACUAUUACUAAUUUGGAAGUGGAAGGGAAAAAUAUCCAGAAUCCAGAGGAAAUUAGGAAAUGCUUCCAGAGAUAUUUCAAACGACUAUACACACAAGGGCCUCAGAAAGAAUUCGAGAUAGAGCAAUUUUUGAAAACCAAUGGAUUACAAAAAAUUUCUCAGGACAACAAGAUAUUGUUGAACUAUAAAAUUACAGAACAGGAGGUUGAAGGUGCCAUUCAGAAUAUGCAGUUGGGAAAAUCUCCAGGACCGGAUGGUUUAACCUCAAAAUACUACAGAACUUUGAAAGACUGGUUAAUUCGACCUUUAACUGAGGUUUGUAAUGAAAUUUUAGAGGGGAAAAGAGCGCCAGAGUCGUGGAAAGACGCAUUUAUUACACUUAUACCAAAGGCCGAGACUGAAAAGACACAGCUUAAGAACUACCGGCCCAUAUCCCUGUUAAAUGUGGAUUACAAAAUCUUUGCUGACAUUUUAGCAAAAAGGCUUAAAAAAGUGCUAAAAGAAGUGAUCCACAAGGACCAAGCUGGCUUUCUCCCAGAUAGACAUCUCUCGGACAACACAAGGAACAUAAUUGAUAUUUUGGAGAAGCUGCAAGAGGAGAUCAAUACUAAAGCAGUUUUGAUUUUUGUGGAUGCAGAGAAAGCCUUUGACAAUAUUUCUUGGAGUUUCAUGAAAAAAAUCUUCAGGGGAUGGGGGUAGGCCAAGAGUUUGAAAAUGGUAUAAAUGCAAUUUACUCAGAACAAAAAGCUAAAUUAAUAGUUAAUAAUGUGAUAACAGAGGAAAUUAAGAUAGAGAAAGGGACACGACAAGGCUGCCCAAUUUCCCCAUUACUUUUUAUUUCUGUUCUGGAGGUUUUGUUAAAUAUGAUAAGAAGGGACCAUCUGAUUAAGGGCAUAACGGUCGGAGCGAAACAAUAUAAAUUGAAAGCAUUUGCAGAUGACCUUGUAUUGACACUACAGGAGCCAGAAUCUAGUACGAAAAGAGCAUUAGAACUGAUUCAAGAGUUUGGUCAGGUGGCAGGUUUUAAGUUAAAUAAGCUUAAAACUAAAGUACUUGAGAAGAAUUUAACACCGAUUGAAAAAGAGAGGUUCCAGAAUGAGACAGGUCUAACAGUGGUAAAAAAAGUGAAAUAUUUGGGGAUUCAUAUGACAGCUAAAAAUGGGAAUUUAUUUAAAGACAAUUAUGAAAAAUGUUGGUCGGACAUUAAAAAAGAUUUAGAAAUAUGGACAAAUCUGAAGCUUUCCUUGUUAGGGCGAAUUGCUGUCAUCAAGAUGAAUGUAUUGCCAAGAAUGUUGUUUUUGUUUCAAUCGAUACAAAUAAUAGACAAAAUGGACUGUUUUAAGAAGUGGCAGAGAGAUAUUUCUAAGUUUGUCUGGCAGGGCAAGAGGCCUAGGAUAAAAUUUAAAAUAUUGACUGAUGCUAAAGAAAGAGGGGAUUUGCCCUGCCAGACUUUAAACUUUAUUAUGAAUCAGCAGCUUUCUGCUGGUUGAAGGAUUGGCUACUUCUGGAAAAUACUGAUGUAUUGGACUUAGAAGGUUUCAAUAAUGUGUUUGGGUGGCAUGCAUAUCUGUGGUAUGACAAGGUUAAAGCUCACAAAAUGUUUAAAAACCAUAUUGUCAGGAAAGCAUUGUUCAAUGUCUGGAUAAGAUACAAAGACUUAUUGGAGAAUAAAACCCCAAGGUGGCUAUCACCAAUGGAGGCAAAGGCCCUAAAAAAGUCCAAUAUGGAGGCCAAAUGGCCAAAAUAUUGGGAGAUCUUGGAACAAGAAGGAGAUAAACUUAAACUGCAGAGUUUUGAAAAAUUAAAAGAUAGAGUGCGAGACUGGUUGCAUUAUUACCAAAUAAGAGAGGUCUAUAAUUUGGAUAGAAAAAUUGGCUUCCAGGUGGAAAAAUCAAAGUUGGAAACAGAAUUGCUAGAUUCCAAAACUAAAACACUUUCAAGAAUGUAUAACUUGCUGCUAAAAUGGAAUACUCAGGAUGAAACGGUAAAAUCUGCUAUGAUUAAAUGGGCACAGGAUAUUGGACAUAAUAUUAUGUUUGCUGACUGGGAACGGUUAUGGACCACAGGUAUGAAGUUCACAGCAUGUAAUGCUUUAAAAGAGAAUAUUAUGAAAAUGGUGUACAGGUGGUACAUGACCCCAGUCAAGCUUGCAAAAAUCUAUCAUUUGCCCGAUAAUAAAUGUUGGAAAUGUAAGGAAACCGAAGGUACAUUCUUUCACAUUUGGUGGACGUGCCCAAAGAUUAAGGCCUUCUGGGAAAGGAUAUAUAAUGAGUUAAAAAAGGUAUUUAAGUAUACCUUUCUAAAGAAACCAGAAGCCUUUCUCUUGGGCAUUGUUGGCCAAUUGGUGUUAAAGAAAGACAGAACUUUCUUUAUGUAUGCAACAGCAGCAGCAAGAAUACUCAUCGCAAAGUAUUGGAAGACACAAGAUUUACCCACUCUGGAAGAAUGGCAGAUGAAGGUAAUUGAAUAUAUGGAACUGGCGGAGAUGACUGGCAGAAUCCGUGACCAGGGAGAAGAGUCGGUGGAAGAAGAUUGGAAGAAAUUUAAAGUCUAUCUACAGAAAUACUAUAAAAUUAAUGAAUGUUAAAUUGAAGUCUGAUUGAUAAUAACUGGUAUUGGCAAAAGCUUUGUGAUUAAGAGUAUGGAAUAUUUGAUGGAGAAGGUUGUAAAAAUAUUUAUAUUUAAAUAGAUUAAGUUUUUUGAGUUAAGAUAAUGAAAGGAGGGUAAGGAUUUGCUGAAAGGAGUUUUUAAAUGGAAGUGCAAGCGGGGAGAUGCGGGGAAGUCAAAGAACUAGGUAAAGAUAAGAAGGCUAAAUGAAAGUAAAAAUAUCUUUUAAAUUUUUCUGUUUCUUUUUUUUUGUUUUUUUUUUCUUUGUCAUGGUUAUUGUUAUUUUUUGUUUGUUGAAUUUUUGUAAUUCUGUAUCUUUUGGAAUUUUUUUUCUUUUGUAAAACCAAUAAAUAUCUUAU